rnacentral:rRNA from 1 species
AUGGUUGACAAGACCACUGGUUUCAAGAAAAGGGCAAAAGGGAAGAAGGGGAACUUCAAAAGGAACGGCAAGCAAGUUGCUGCUCCCGUGAAGAAGUCCAAAGCUAGACCCAAGCCUGAAACUGAGUGCUUCUACUGCAAAGGAAAUGAUCACUGGAAGUGGAAUUGCCCUAGAUACUUGGCGGAUAAGAAGGAUGGCAAAGUAAACAAAUGUAUAUUUGAUAUACAUGUUGGGUACACCUUCUAUCACAGAUCCGAAGGCAAGACAUUCGUUGCUAAGAAUGGAUCCUUUCUAGAGAAGGAGUUUCUCUCAAAAGAAGUGAGUGGGAGGAAAGUAGAACUUGAUGAGGUAACUGUACCUACUCCCUUAUUGGAAAGUAGUUCAUCACAGAAAUUUGUUCCGGUGAAUCCUACACCAAUUAGUGAGGAAGCUAAUGAUGAUGAUCAUGUAACUUCAGAUCAAGUUACUACUGAACCUCGUAGGUCAACCAUAGUAAGAUCCGCACCAGAGUGGUACGGUAAUCCUGUUCUGGAGGUCAUGUUACUAGACCAUGACGAACCUACGAACUAUGAGGAAGCGAUGAUGAGCCCAGAUUCCGUGAAAUGGCUUGAGGCCAUGAAAUCUGAGAUGGGAUCCAUAUAUGAGAACAAACUGGACUUUGGUUGA